rnacentral:rRNA from 1 species
GGGGGGGGGGCAAGCGUUGUUCGGAAUUACUGGGCGUAAAGGGCGCGCAGGCGGCCUGGCAAGUCCUACGUGAAAUCCCACAGCUUAACUGUGGAACUGCGUGGGAUACUGCCAGGCUUGAGUCCGGGAGAGGAGAGUGGAAUUCCCAGUGUAGCGGUGAAAUGCGUAGAUAUUGGGAGGAACACCGGUGGCGAAGGCGGCUCUCUGGACCGGUACUGACGCUGAGGCGCGAAAGCUAGGGGAGCAAACGGGAUUAGAUACCCCGGUAGUCCUAGCCGUAAACUUUGAGCACUUUGUGUGGCGGGUAUCGACCCCUGCCGUGCAGAAGCUAACGCGUUAAGUGCUCCGCCUGGGGAGUACGGUCGCAAAGGCUG